CAAAAACAUCGCCUCUUGCAACAACAGUAUAAGAGGUCCUGCCUGCCCAGUGACCAUGUGUUCAACGGCCACGGUAUUUUAACCGAGCGAAGGUAGCGUAAUCAUUUGUCUUUUAAAUGUAGACCUGUAUGAAUGGCGUGACGAGGGCUUAACUGUCUCCUUUUUCCAGUCAAUGAAAUUGAUCUCCCCGUGCAGAAGCGGAGAUAACCCCAUAAGACGAGAAGACCCUGUGGAGCUUUAGACAUUAAGACAGACAAUAGUAUAUCCUUAUAAAGAACCAAACCUAAUGAUUCCUGCCGUUAUGUCUUUGGUUGGGGCGACCUCGGAGAACCACAAAACCCCCGCGUGGAAUGGGAGCUAUUUACCCCUUGCCAACCGAAACCAAGAGUUACCACUCUAAUUAACAGUACUUCUGACCAAUGAGGAUCCGGCUCACGCCGAUCAACGGACCAAGUUACCCCAGGGAUAACAGCGCAAUCCUCUUCUAGAGUCCCUAUCGACAAGAGGGUUUACGACCUCGAUGUUGGAUCAGGGCAUCCUAAUGGCGCAGCCGCUAUUAAGGGUUCGUUUGUUCAACGAUUAAAGCCCUACGUGAUCUGA
rnacentral:rRNA from 1 species